GACGAACGCUGGCGGCGUGCUUAACACAUGCCAGUCGAACGGAAAGGCCCUGCUUUUGUGGGGUGCUCGAGUGGCGAACGGGUGAGUAACACGUGAGUAACCUGCCCUUGACUUUGGGAUAACUUCAGGAAACUGGGGCUAAUACCGGAUAGGAGCUCCUGCUGCAUGGUGGGGGUGGGAAAGUUUCGGCGGUUGGGGAUGGACUCGCGGCUUAUCAGCUUGUUGGUGGGGUAGUGGCUUACCAAGGCCUUGACGGGUAGCCGGCCUGAGAGGGUGACCGGCCACAUUGGGACUGAGAUACGGCCCAGACUCCUACGAGAGGCAGCAGUGGGGAAUAUUGCACAAUGGGCGGAAGCCUGAUGCAGCAACGCCGCGUGCGGGAUGACGGCCUUCGGGUUGUAAACCGCUUUCGCCUGUGACGAAGCGUGAGUGACGGUAAUGGGUAAAGAAGCACCGGCUAACUACGUG
rnacentral:rRNA from 1 species